CCGAAAUUGAUUUCCACUCCAGGGCAAAAACAAAAAUGCAAGCAAAUAUCCAAAAUGAAAAGGACAAAGAAAAAGUAAAAGAAGUUAAUGGUCAGAAUGUUUAUUGAGAGAUUUCAUAACAAAAAAAAGAUAAGAGAGGGAGGCAAUACUGUCAGUGCCGACGACACAGCACAUAAAAUACUAGCAGGCUACACAUGCAGAGAGCACUUAAUCAAUAGUAUUGAGCAUCACAAGGGCCUCCUCAAUGUCGGAAUGCUCCCUCAACUCGAUUGUACAAAAUGAACAGGAAUUCUUAUACUCGGCCAUGAUCAGUCGGCACGAUAAUCCUCGUCGUCUCCUUAAUUUCGUACCCUCCAAAAAAGCACGAUUCUGCAUGCAAAAAGCCCCCACGAUAUAAAGAAAGCUGACAUUCAUAACGACGUUCAUAACGAAAACAUC